UAAGUUAUGUUACCGAAUUGA
rnacentral:piRNA from 1 species